rnacentral:rRNA from 1 species
UACGUAGGGUGCGAGCGUUAAUCGGAGUUACUGGGCGUAAAGCGUGCGCAGGCGGUUCGUUAAGUUCGUUGUGAAAGCCCCGGGCUCAACCCGGGAACUGCGUCCGAUACUGGAAGGCUUGAAUUCGGGAGAGGGAUGCGGAAUUCCAGGUGUAGCGGUGAAAUGCGUAGAUAUCUGGAGGAACACCGGUGGCGAAGGCGGCAUCCUGGACCGGCAUUGACGCUGAGGCGCGAAAGCCAGGGGAGCAAACGGG